rnacentral:lncRNA from 1 species
UGUGGCCACAGCCACUGAGCAGAGAGAGAUGAUCACCCGCCUGGAGCAGCACCUGAGCAUCAUUCAGUCCAUCCAGCGGCCCGAUGCUGAGGGUGCCGCUGAGCACCGCCUGGAGAAGAUCCCAGAGCCCAUCAAAGAGGCCACUGCCCUAUUCUACGGACCUGCUGCACCAGCCAGCGGUGCCCUCCCAGAGGGCCAGGUGGAUUCACUGCUUUCCAUCAUCUCCAGCCAGAGGGAGCACUUCCGUGCCCGGAACCAGGAGCUUGAGGCCGAGAACCGCCUGGCCCAGCACACCCUCCAGGCCCUGCAGAGUGAGCUGGACAGCCUGCGCGCCGACAACAUCAAGCUAUUUGAGAAGAUCAAGUUCCUGCAGAGCUACCCUGGCCGGGGCAGCGGCAGUGAUGACACGGAGCUGCGGUACUCGUCCCAGAGCGGCAGAGGAAGUACCUGAGCUUGAGUCCCUGGGACAAGGCCACCCUCAGCAUGGGGCGUCUGGUUCUCUCCAACAAGAUGGCGUGCACCAUCGGCUUCUUCUACACACUGUUCCUGCACUGCCUGGUCUUCCUGGUGCUCUACAAGCUGGCAUGGAGCGAGAGCAUGGAAAGGGACUGUGCCACCUUCUGCGCCAAGAAGUGAAGACCCCCACUUGGGCCCCCCCUCAGCCCCACAGCGAGCUCCCAG